CCCCCCACUGGGAGUCUGGGAACGAGAGGUUCACUGAAGAACGUUCUGAGGACCACUCUCGGGGCUCAGACCGUAUAUGAAGAAGUCCUCUGAAAGGUACUGGUGGAGGUGGAAGGCAUCCUCAAUUCAAAACCAUUGGGGUACAUCUCCUCAGACGUGGCCGACCCAGACACUGUUAACCCUAACCUCCUCCUCAUGGGGCAGCGGGACGCCUCCUUGCCACAAGUAACAUACUCGGACACUGAGCUCCUGGGGUGAAGACGGUGGCGGCGCAGCCAAGUGCUAGCUGACCAUUUCUGGCCCAGCGUCAUUAAGUUUUAUCUGCCAAGCCUACAAACCCAGCAGAAAUGGCAGAAGGACACUAAGGACCUUGAAGUGGACACUGUGGUUAUGAUAAUGGACCCACAGUUACCCAGAGCACAUUGGCCCAUUGGAUGUGUUGUCGCUGUUGGAGCUGGCAGAGAUGGACGGGUCCAGACUGCAGAGGAAACCACACACACAUCCACACAUUCCACACCCAGUCCACGAAAAUCCUCAGUAAACUUCUGAACCCGGAACCUGACUCCUGUGUCCUGAACCUAGUUUACAGAGGUCUAUGCAUAGACGCUGAAGUUGUAUGCGGGCUGGUCAGAAGUUGGACUGGAAUCAACCUUGAAUGUGCAACUGCCAGGAUUUGGACCCACCAUAAACAAACAUGCCACUGACAGCCU